ACUUGAGCAUUGAUUUGAAGGCACAACAAGAUGGUCAUAUAAUGAAUGAUAAUUUCAAUACGUAAUAGACACCAAGCGUGUGGCGCCUCCAAUAUCUAUUUGGGAUAUUGGACUCAUUAUCACAUACCUUAAUGGGAGGCUAUGAUCUAGUUAUCCCUAUAACUAGCUCAUUUUAUGGACCUAAUAAUUUAAAAGAUUUGGUUAAUAUAUCUUAGAGGACAU
rnacentral:lncRNA from 1 species